rnacentral:misc_RNA from 1 species
CAACAGCUGAAAGGAGGUGAUCCAGUGUCGAGAGCUACAUUGGAGAGAGGUGUCGGGACAACGGCGGAGGUCAGCGCGUAGGGCAGCCCUUGCGCGGAGAUGACCGCAAUUGGCCGAGGGUCUAACCGGACCUCGCCUCCAACACAGUUCGACAGGGCCGUUCCGUCUUCCGGAGCGGCCC